CGACCGGCGCACGGGUGAGUAACACGUAUCCAACCUGCCGAUAACUCGGGGAUAGCCUUUCGAAAGAAAGAUUAAUAUCCGAUAGGAUAUCAAGGCCGCAUGAUCUUGAUAUUAAAGAAUUUCGGUUAUCGAUGGGGAUGCGUUCCAUCAGUUAGUUGGCGGGGUAACGGCCCACCAAGACGACGAUGGAUAGGGGUUCUGAGAGGAAGGUCCCCCACAUUGGAACUGAGACACGGUCCAAACUCCUACGGGAGGCAGCAG
rnacentral:rRNA from 1 species